UUCAUUCAAACUACGUUCUCUUCGUUUCUUAACGAACUAGCAUAAUCAAGACUCAAUUAACAGAUUAACAUACAAAGUAACCACCGAAUUUUGUACUUUUCAUGAGCCAUAUGUAAAAAUAUUCACUGUAAACACUUUCUUCCUUUUUAACCAUAAUUAGCAUAACAAAUUCUUAUCUAAAUGAAAACUCUAACAUCAUAAACACGUAUAAUCAUGAUUACCAGUUAUAUAUAUCAACAAUUCGACAAUUUGAAUUCACAGAACAUCAGAAAAAUUUGCCGUGAAACACACACACACACACAUAUAUAUAUAUAUUAAGGUUAUGUAAAAUACCUUCAAUUUGCUUGAUAAUCCUUGCUAAUACCACUGAAAUUGUUGUGGAAUUCUUAGAUUUUCUCUCAAAUUUCCUCUCAAGUUCUCUGAAUUCUCCUCUUUUCUCCUCUUAGGCUUCAGCCAAAAACAAAAACUGAUAACAAGUAUACGUAAAAUAAAGAAAC
rnacentral:lncRNA from 1 species